UACGUAGGUGGCAAGCGUUUGUCCGGAUUUAUUGGGUUUAAAGGGUGCGUAGGCGGCUUUGUAAGUCAGUGGUGAAAUAUGGCAGCUCAACUGUCAAGGUGCCAUUGAUACUGCGGAGCUUGAGUACAGAUGAGGUAGGCGGAAUUGACGGUGUAGCGGUGAAAUGCUUAGAUAUCGAUCAAGAACACCUAUAGCGAAGGCAACUUACUAGGCUGUAACUGACGCUGAGGCACGAAAGUGUGGGGAUCAAACAGG
rnacentral:rRNA from 1 species